rnacentral:rRNA from 1 species
GGGUUGUGAGGUUAAGCGACUAAGCGUACACGGUGGAUGCCCUGGCAGUCAGAGGCGAUGAAGGACGUGCUAAUCUGCGAUAAGCGUCGGUAAGGUGAUAUGAACCGUUAUAACCGGCGAUUUCCGAAUGGGGAAACCCAGUGUGAUUCGUCACACUAUCAUUAACUGAAUCCAUAGGUUAAUGAGGCGAACCGGGGGAACUGAAACAUCUAAGUACCCCGAGGAAAAGAAAUCAACCGAGAUUCCCCCAGUAGCGGCGAGCGAACGGGGAGCAGCCCAGAGCCUGAAUCAGUGUGUGUGUUAGUGGAAGCGUCUGGAAAGGCGCGCGAUACAGGGUGACAGCCCCGUACACAAAAAUGCACAUAUUGUGAGCUCGAUGAGUAGGGCGGGACACGUGGUAUCCUGUCUGAAUAUGGG